rnacentral:misc_RNA from 1 species
ACACAUUCGACAGGAGCGGUAUAGGGUGCGAGAUAAUUAAAACUGAUGGAACAAAACUUGGACGUCGACGAGAUUUGGAGAACGUUGAAGCCAUGGGGACGCUAUCAGAUUAAACAAAUGUGUUUUAUGUGGGCUGUUAUGCUACCAUGUUCACUGCAUCUGCUGGCGGUGGUUUUCAUCGGAUACAGACCCGACUUCCAGUGUGCCGAAAUCUCGCCGGCCAAUCAGAACAGUUCUGUCAAUUCUACUUAUGAUGUCACAUAUGACGAAUGUUCGGUGACGAUGUCCUAUAACCAAUCCAAUUUCUCUCAGACGAUCACUUCCUGUCCAAACGGCUACAAGUACAAUGCUCACGACGACAUCUCCUUUGUUACGGAGUGGGGACUAGUGUGCGGCGAAUCUGCCAAAGUGGACAUUUCUCAGUCCCUCAUGCUCCUUGGUCAAGGUAUGGGCGGCUUCCUGUGUACCGGUCUCUCCGAUAAGUUCGGCAGAAAGACCGUCCACAUCAGCUCUCACAUCCUUCUCUUUGUUCUAUGCCUUGUCACUGCGUUCAUCCCCUCCUAUAUAGGAUUCGCCAUUCUCAGAUUCUUCACUGGUAUGGCUGUAGAGGGUUUGUUGUUGUCCGGCGUUACCCAGUAUGUAGAAACACUUCCGAUGGAGUGGCGAUUCUGCGCAGAAGUCAUUGGACUCGUCGCCUGGACGACAGGAAUUGUGAUGCUUACUCCCCUAGCUUACAUCAUGCAGACCUUUUCCUGGAGAUACCUUCAACUUCUCCUGGCACUGUUCUCUGUGUACAGUCUGGUAGAAUACUGGCUGUUUGACGAAUCUCUUAGAUGGCUCAUGGCAAAUGGUCGUUUGGACGAGGCAGAAAAGGUGGUGCGGAAGGCUGCUAAAAUGAACAAAAUGUCUUUUGAUAAAGUCAUUAGUAUCGUCAAAGCUAAAAUGAUUGAAAUGGAAGCUCUGGACAAAGAAAAUGGUUCUAUACAGGUUGCAUCUGACCCCGAUGUUGUGGUUGAAACCUACAUUCCUAAAAAUACGGAAGUCAAGAAAUAUUCAAUGGCUGACAUUUUACGGGAUCGGUUGAUUUUUAUCAAUUCUGCCAUCAUAUGGUUCCUAUGGUAACAUUUUAAAAUAAUUAAAUUCUGAUUGUAACGCCUCAUUUGAUUGGCUAAACAAAUUCAUAUAUAUCGUAUAACAUAACUUGCCUACGUCAUCACAAUAAGACGCUCGAGCGAAACGUAUUAAUCCGCUUGACGUUACGUUUAAAUUUUGUACAAAUUAACAUAUUUUAUCUAAUUAAUGGGCCUUAUUAUCUAAUUUAAAUAGUAAAAAAUUAAAUUAUAAGGAAUAAAUUUAAUUUCUACCUAUGUUAUACGAGUAUAACACAACUUGGAACAGUUUAUGCUUUUUUAUAAACCGCUUCGGGGUUUAUAAAGCGUAAACUGCUCCAAGUUAUGUUAUAUCGUAUAACAUAGGUAGAAAUUAAAUUCAUUCCUUAACAGUUAUAUGAGUUUGAUUUUAUUUAAAGCAGUAAACCUGGUUCCGUUCAAAUAUAAACCUAUAAAUUACAAAUAAAAACAACAAAUUAAAGGUUUUUUAAAAACAAUGUUGGAGUUCCUGGUUAUAUACUGUCUAGUAUUCUGAUCAAUUUUAUAAUUCUACGGUUAUAAUAUUAAGAACUGACAUUGUUGUUACUCUAUUUGCCUUCUGUGUCUAAAUAUUUUUAAACUUCCUCAGUAAAGCUGUAAAGUGACAAAUAGCAGUUUAGUUUCAAUUUAAAAUUGACUCUCUAUCUGCUUGAGAGUGUUCUUGUAUCAUGCUUUCCUUAUAUGGUUAGUGUGGGUUUAAAAACAACCUGAUGCAGUAAAAAAAUAUUUAAUAUACUUGUAAACAAAAGCCGUCCCGAAUUUAAGACGAAUUGCAAUAACUGUCACGAAUGCAAGGAUCAUCGUUCAUAAAGCAUCCAAUAAUUGAUUCAGAAUCCAUUGUUCUCAUUGCAGUUUGUGUUUUAGAUCCCUCUCCGUCAACACAGUUAUUGCUCUUGGUUUGUAUUUGAUUUUGUUUCUCUUUUGACCAGGGUGACGAACAGUCUAACGUAUUACGGACUGAAUCUGAUUUCUACCACACUGUAUGGAAACCGUUUCGUGAACUUCUUUCUUCUAGGCGCCAUUGAAUAUUUCUCAGCCCUGACUGAAUUUCUUCUGUUAAACAGAAUUGGAAGGAAGAAGACUUUGAUUUUCCUGAUGGGUAUAUCUGGGAUAUCUCUUCUAAUCUCUACACUUAUAUCAACAUUAAGAGGGGACAGUUCGGCUCUGGGCUACCUGGCGACGGCAUUGGUCCUGGUUGGAAAGUACGGUAUUACCGGAGCGUUCAGUUCCGUCUUCCUGUAUACAUCCGAGCUAUACCCCACCAAUCUAAGGAAUUCUGGUUAUGGAUAUGCCUCUGUUUUUGCCAGAGUUGGUGGUGUUUUAGCUCCUUUUUCAAGUACUUUUCACAGCUACGUGGCGUGGGGACCCGGUGUGGUAUUCAGCACCAUGUGCUUUCUUUCCGCCAUUAUGAUAUUUCAUCUACCGGAAACACGUGGCCGAGAACUUCCUACCAGUAUAGAAGAACUUAAAAUGUGGUAUAGAGAACACAGUGGAAUCCAAAAUUCUGGAACCAAAGUUAAAAAAGAAAUUGCCCAGACAUAAAAGAAGUUAAUUACACAGUUCGUGGAAUAAAUUAAAUUAAAUAUGCC